UUGGGCGUAAGCGAGCGCAGGCGGUUUCUUAAGUCUGAUGUGAAAGCCCCGGGCUCAACCGGGGAGGGGCAUUGGAAACUGGGAGACUUGAGUGCAGAAGAGGAAAGUGGAAUUCCAUGUGUAGCGGUGGAAUGCGUAGAUAUAUGGAAGAACACCAGUGGCGAAGGCGGCUCUCUGGUCUGUAACUGACGUUGAGGCUCGAAAGUGUGGGGAGCAAACAGGAUUAGAUACCCUGGUAGUCCACGCCGUAAACGAUGAGUGCUAAGUGUUGGAGGGUUUCCGCCCUUCAGUGCUGCAGCUAACGCAUUAAGCACUCCGCCUGGGGAGUACGACCGCAAGGUUGAAACUCAAAGGAAUUGACGGGGGCCCGCACAAGCGGUGGAGCAUGUGGUUUAAUUCGAAGCAACGCGAAGAACCUUACCAGGUCUUGACAUCCUUUGACCACUUUAGAGAUAGAGCUUUCCCUUCGGGGGCAAAAUGACAGGGGGUGCAUGGUUGUCCUCAGCUCGUGUCGUGAGAUGUUGGGUUAAGUCCCGCAACGAGCGCAACCCUUAUUGUUAGUUGCCAUCAUUUAGUUGGGCACUCUAGCAAGACUGCCGGUGACCAACCGGAAGAAGGUGGGGAUGACGUCAAAUCAUCAUGCCCCUUAUGACCUGGGCUACACACGUGCUACAAUGGGAAGUACAACGAGUUGCGAAACCGCGAGGGUAAGCUAAUCUCUUAAAGCUUCUCUCAGUUCGGAAUGCAAGCUGCAACUCCCCUGCCUGAAGCUGGAAUCCCUAGUAAUCCCGGAUCAACACGCCCCGGGUGAAUACGUUCCCCGGGCCUUGUACACACCCGCCCGUCACACCACGAGGAGUUUGUUAACACCCGAAGUCCGUGAGGCUAACCUUCUUGGAGACAAGCCGCCUCAAGUGCGAUAGAUGA
rnacentral:rRNA from 1 species